UACGUAGGUGGCAAGCGUUGUCCGGAUUUACUGGGCGUAAAGGGCGUGCAGGCGGUCUGUUAAGUCUAGGGUGAAAGCUCCCGGCUCAACUGGGAGAGGUCCUUGGAUACUGGCGGACUUGAGGGAGGUAGAGGAAAGUGGAAUUCCCGGUGUAGUGGUGAUAUGCGUAGAUAUCCGGAGGAACACCAGUGGCGAAGGCGACUUUCUGGCCUGUUCUUGACGCUGAGGCGCGAAAGCUAGGGGGAGCAAACGGG
rnacentral:rRNA from 1 species